AUCUUUCUUUCUUUCUAUCUUUGACACCAUGCUGUGGUCGAGACUAUUCUUUGUAUUUCUGAUGUUGGCUGUGGGUCUGACUUGGGCGGCUCCGGGACAAAUAUCAGAUGACAAAUUGUGCCCUGGUGGAAAACCUCCAACUGCAGCAGGCGUUUGUCCACCGACAACACCUUUCCCCAAAAUUUAUGACGACUAUUUUGACGAAGAUGAUAAAUAAACGCUGACAACAACCGAUAUCCUGACAGCCACGAAGAAUAACUCAAUAACUUGUAAAAACGUGUCAUCUCAACUUGUCAAUAAAUUGUCAUGUUGCGGUACAAGUGCA